AAUUUGGGACAAUGGGGGUAACGCUGAUCCAGCCAUCCCGCGUGUUCGAGGAAGGCCUUCGGGUUNUAAAGCACUUUUUGCAGGGANGAAAAGCCGCGGGUUAAUACCCUGCGGUGCUGACGGUACCUGCCUAAUAAGCACCGGCUCACUACGUGCCAUAAGCCGCGGUAAUAAGUAGGGUGUAAGCGUUAAUCGGAAUUACUGGGCGUAAAGCGUGCGCAGGCGGUUCGGCAAGAAGGAUGUGAAAUCCCGGGGCUUAAACUCGGAACUGCAUUCUUAACUGCCGGGCUAGAGUAUGUCAGAGGGGUGUAGAAUUCCGCGUGUAGCAGUGAAAUGCGUAGAGAUGCGGAGGAAUACCGAUGGCGAAGGCAGCCCCCUGGGAUAAUACUGACGCUAAUGCACGAAAGCGUGGGGAGCAAAC
rnacentral:rRNA from 1 species